GAUGAAGAACGUAGCGAAAUGCGAUACGUAAUGUGAAUUGCAGAAUUCAGUGAAUCAUCGAAUCUUUGAACGCAUAUUGCGCUCUCUGGUAUUCCGGAGAGCAUGCUUGUUUGAGUAUCAGUAAACACCUCAACUUCCAUAUCUUUUUUGAAAUGGGAGUUGGACUUGAGUGAUCCCAACGCUUUUCCUCACCGAAAAGUGGCGGGUUACUUGAAAUGCAGGUGCAGCUGGACUUUUCUCUGAGCUAUAAGCAUAUCUAUUUAGUCUGCCUAAAAAACAGAUUAUUACCUUUGCUGCAGCUAACAUAAAGGAGACUAGUUCUUGUGCUGACUGAUGCAGGAUUCACAGAGACAGCUUCGGCUGACUUUGUAAACUCGAUCUCAAAUCAAGUAAGACUACCCGCUGAACUUAAGCAUAUCAAUAAGCGGAGGA
rnacentral:misc_RNA from 1 species